rnacentral:rRNA from 1 species
CCCUUAGAUGUUCUGGGCCGCACGCGCGCUACACUGACGAAUGCAACGAGCUUAUAACCUUGGCCGAAAGGUCUGGGUAAUCUCCAAAUUUCGUCGUGAUGGGGAUAGAUUAUUGCAAUUAUUAAUCUUCAACGAGGAAUGCCUAGUAAGCGCAAGUCAUCUGCUUGCGUUGAUUACGUCCCUGCCCUUUGUACACACCGCCCGUCGCUCCUACCGAUUGAAUGGUCCGGUGAAGCGUUCGGACCGUGGCCUUUGGACGGUUCGCCGUCUGUUGGCUGCGGGAAGUUCGUUAAACCUUAUCAUUUAGAGGAAGGAGAAGUCGUAACA